AGUUAACAACUGGCCCGUCCCCGGAUUUCCUGGCCCACUCAGCGAUGGCCGGGGGGUUUGGCUCGGGUUCACGAGUAACAAACCCUUUGUCGUCCGACCAUGUUGCCUCGGGGGAGACCCUGCCUUCGGGCGGGUGGCACCCCGGUGGACCAAACCAAACUCUUGCAUAACAAUGUAGUCUGAGUGAUUUAAACAAUAAAUCAAAACUUUCAACAACGGAUCUCUUGGUUCU
rnacentral:misc_RNA from 1 species